rnacentral:rRNA from 1 species
ACGCACGCUGGCGGCAUGCCUAACACAUGCAAGUCGAACGAGACCUUCGGGUCUAGUGGCGCACGGGUGCGUAACGCGUGGGAACCUGCCCUUAGGUUCGGAAUAACUCCCCGAAAGGGGUGCUAAUACCGGAUAAUGUCUUCGGACCAAAGAUUUAUCGCCUUUGGAUGGGCCCGCGUUGGAUUAGCUAGUUGGUAGGGUAAAAGCCUACCAAGGCGACGAUCCAUAGCUGGUCUGAGAGGAUGAUCAGCCACACUGGGACUGAGACACGGCCCAGACUCCUACGGGAGGCAGCAGUGGGGAAUAUUGGACAAUGGGCGAAAGCCUGAUCCAGCAAUGCCGCGUGAGUGAUGAAGGCCUUAGGGUUGUAAAGCUCUUUUACCCGGAAUGAUAAUGACAGUACCGGGAGAAUAAGCUCCGGCUAACUCCGUG